rnacentral:rRNA from 1 species
CGUGUCGUGAGAUGUUGGGUUAAGUCCCGCAACGAGCGCAACCCUUGAUCUUAGUUGCCAGCAUUCAGUUGGGCACUCUAAGGUGACUGCCGGUGACAAACCGGAGGAAGGUGGGGAUGACGUCAAAUCAUCAUGCCCCUUAUGACCUGGGCUACACACGAGCUACAAUGGACAGAACAAAGGGCAGCGAAACCGCGAGGUUAAGCCAAUCCCACAAAUCUGUUCUCAGUUCGGAUCGCAGUCUGCAACUCGACUGCGUGAAGCUGGAAUCGCUAGUAAUCGCGGAUCAGCAUGCCGCGGUGAAUACGUUCCCGGGCCUUGUACACACCGCCCGUCACACCACGAGAGUUUGUAACACCCGAAGUCGGUGAGAUAACCUUUUAGGAGCCAGCCGCCGAAGGUGGGACAGAUGAUUGGGGU